GGCGUGCUUACAAUGCAAGUCGAACGAUGAAGCUGGAGCUUGCUCUGGUGGAUUAGUGGCGAACGGGUGAGUAACACGUGAGUAACCUGCCCUUGACUCUGGAAUAAGCGUUGGAAACGACGUCUAAUACCGGAUACGAGCUUCCGCCGCAUGGUGAGGAGCUGGAAAGAAUUUCGGUCAAGGAUGGACUCGCGGCCUAUCAGGUAGUUGGUGAGGUAAUGGCUCACCAAGCCUACGACGGGUAGCCGGCCUGAGAGGGUGACCGGCCACACUGGAACUGAGACACGGUCCAGACUCCUACGGGAGGCAGCAGUGGGGAAUAUUGCACAAUGGGCGCAAGCCUGAUGCAGCAACGCCGCGUGAGGGACGACGGCCUUCGGGUUGUAAACCUCUUUUAGUAGGGAAGAAGCGAAAGUGACGGUACCUGCACAAAAAGCACCGGCUAACUACGUGCCAGCAGCCGCGGUAAUACGUAGGGUGCAAGCGUUAUCCGGAAUUAUUGGGCGUAAAGAGCUCGUA
rnacentral:rRNA from 1 species